UACGUAGGCAGCAAGCGUUGUUCGGAGUUACUGGGCGUAAAGGGUGUGUAGGCGGUUGGAUAAGUGUGGUGUGAAAUCUCCCGGCUCAACUGGGAGGGUGCGCUACAAACUGUCUGACUAGAGUGCGGGAUGGGAAAGUGGAAUUCCUGGUGUAGCGGUGAAAUGCGUAGAUAUCAGGAGGAACACCGGUGGUGUAGACGGCUUUCUGGACCGUAACUGACGCUGAGACACGAAAGCGUGGGGAGCAAACAGG
rnacentral:rRNA from 1 species